rnacentral:rRNA from 1 species
UAGGGAAUCUUCGGCAAUGGGGGCAACCCUGACCGAGCAACGCCGCGUGAGUGAAGAAGGUUUUCGGAUCGUAAAGCUCUGUUGUAAGAGAAGAACGUGUGUGAGAGUGGAAAGUUCACACAGUGACGGUAACUUACCAGAAAGGGACGGCUAACUACGUGCCAGCAGCCGCGGUAAUACGUAGGUCCCGAGCGUUGUCCGGAGUUAUUGGGCGUAAAGCGAGCGCAGGCGGUUUAAUAAGUCUGAAGUUAAAGGCAGUGGCUUAACCAUUGUUCGCUUUGGAAACUGUUAAACUUGAGUGCAGAAGGGGAGAGUGGAAUUCCAUGUGUAGCUGUGAAAUGCGUAGAUAUAUGGAAGAACGCCGGUGGCGAAAGCUGCUCUCUGGUCUGUAACUGACGCUGAGGAUCGAAAGCGUGGGGAGCAAACAGG